GCUUAGAAGCAGCCAUCAUUUAAAGAAAGCGUAAUAGCUCACUGGUCGAGUCGGCCUGCGCGGAAGAUGUAACGGGGCUAAACCAUGCACCGAAGCUGCGGCAGCGACGCUUAUGCGUUGUUGGGUAGGGGAGCGUUCUGUAAGCCUGUGAAGGUGUGCUGUGAGGCAUGCUGGAGGUAUCAGAAGUGCGAAUGCUGACAUAAGUAACGAUAAAGCGGGUGAAAAGCCCGCUCGCCGGAAGACCAAGGGUUCCUGUCCAACGUUAAUCGGGGCAGGGU
rnacentral:rRNA from 1 species